rnacentral:rRNA from 1 species
AGAGUUUGAUCCUGGCUCAGGACGACGCUGGCGGCGCGUCUAAGACAUGCAAGUCGUGCGGAGGGGAGCAAUCCCCUUAGCGGCGAACGGGUGAGUAACACGUAGCUAACCUGCCCUUUGGACCGGGAUAACGGGACGAAAGUCCCGCUAAUACUGGAUACGCUCUGCGGAGGAAAGCGGGGGAUCGUAAGACCUCGCGCUGAAGGAGGGGGCUGCGGCCUAUUAGCUUGUUGGUGGGGUAACGGCCCACCAAGGCGGAGAUGGGUAGCUGAUCUGAGAGGAUGAUCAGCCACACUGGGACUGAGAUACGGCCCAGACUCCUACGGGAGGCAGCAGUUAAGAAUCUUGCGCAAUGGGCGAAAGCCUGACGCAGCGACGCCGCGUGGAGGAUGACGGCCCUCGGGUUGUAAACUCCGUUUCCUAGGGACGAAAUAAAGGUGGCUAAUACCUGCCUGACUGACGGUACCUGGGGAAUAAGCCCCGGCCAAUUACGUGCCAGCAGCCGCGGUAAUACGUAAGGGGCAAGCGUUGUCCGGAAUCACUGGGCGUAAAGCGCGCGUAGGCGGUUUGGUAAGUCGGGUGUGAAAUCCCCGGGCUCAACCCGGGAACUGCGCCCGAAACUGCCUCACUGGAGGGACGGAGAGGUGCACGGAAUUCCCGGUGUAGGGGUGAAAUCCAUAGAGGUCGGGAGGAACACCAAUGGCGAAGGCAGUGCACUGGACGUUACCUGACGCUGAGGUGCGAAAGCGUGGGGAGCGAACGGGAUUAGAUACCCCGGUAGUCCACGCUGUAAACGAUGGGCACUAGGUUUGGGCGGCUUCGACCCCGUCCGAGCCGGCGCUAACGCAUUAAGUGCCCCGCCUGGGGAGUACGGCCGCAAGGCUAAAACUCAAAGGAAUUGACGGGGGCCCGCACAAGCGGUGGAGCGUGUGUUUUAAUUCGAUGCUACGCGAAAAACCUCACCUCGGCUUGACAUCUGGAGAAUCCCCCUGAAAGGGGGGAGUGCGCUUUCGGGCGAGCUCCAAGACAGGUGCUGCAUGGCUGUCGUCAGCUCGUGUCGUGAGAUGUUGGAUUAAGUUCCGCAACGAGCGCAACCCUUGCCGCUAGUUACCAGCAUUAAGUUGGGGACUCUAGCGGGACUGCCAGCAAAAACUGGAGGAAGGCGGGGAUGACGUCAAGUCAGCAUGGCCCGUACGCCGAGGGCUACACACGCGCUACAAUGGCCGGUACAACGCGUUGCGACCUUGCGAGAGGAAGCUAAUCGCUAAAAGCCGGCCCCAGUUCGGAUUGGAGGCUGCAACCCGCCUCCAUGAAGUCGGAAUCGCUAGUAACCGCCGAUCAGCACGCGGCGGUGAAUACGUUCCCGGGCCUUGUACACACCGCCCGUCACACCACCCGAGUCGAUUGCACCCGAAGUCGCUGGCCGAACCCCGCAAGGGGGCGGAGGUGCCGAAGGUGUGGUCGGUGAGGAGGGUGAAGUCGUAACAAGGUA